GGUCUCAGAGCCCCCCCUGAGCCUCGGGACCCCUCCUCAGAUGAAGCUGAUGGGUUCCAUCCGGGAGAGCAUCGUCCAGCGGCGCUUCCCGGAGUUCGUGCGGGAGUUCAUGGCCACCAUGUACGGGGGGCGCGGGGGACCCCCGGCCUGGGCUCGGGAGGCUCUGGGGUCUGUGGGGAUCCCCCUGGACUGAGGGGAGACCCCCAGGAGCACCCCAAAUUCCCAGGGGAGACCCCCAGGACCACCCCAAAUUCCCAGGGGAAACCCCCCAGAAUCCACCCCAAAUUCCCAGGGGAGACCCCCAGGAGCACCCCAAAUUCCCAGGGGAGACCCCCAGGACCACCCCAAAUUCCCAGGGGACCCCCUGGAUUGAGGGGAGACCCCCAGGAUCACCCCCAAUUCCCAGGGGACCCCCCCAGGCUCCUGAAUCCCCUCCCCCUCCGGGAGUUUUGGGGUUUUUUUACGGUUUUGGUUUUAUUUUUUUACUGUUUUGGGGUUUUUUUAAAGAACGGAAAUAAAAGAAUUUGGAAGGGAGCGGCUGCUGUGGUUCUGAUGGGCUGGGGACACCUGGGGACACUUUGGGGACACUGGGGACAUUCUGGGGACACCUGGGGACACCUGGGGACACUUGGGGACACUUUGGGGACACCUGGGGACAUUUUGGGGACACCUGGGGGGACACCUGGGGACACUUUUGGGACACUUUGGGACACUCUGGGGACACCUGGGGACAUUCUGGGGACACCUGGGGACACUUGGGGACACUUUGGGGACACUGGGGACAUUCUGGGGACACUUUGGGGACACUUUUGGGACACUUUUGGGACACUUUGGGGACACUUUGGGGACACUGGGGACACUGGGGACACUCUGGGGACACUUUGGGGACACUCUGGGGUCACUUGGGGACACUCUGGGGACACUGAGUGUCCCUGUCACCUCUGGGGUGGCACCUGCAUGUCCGUGGUGACACCUGAGUGUCCAUGGUGACACCUGUGUGACCACAGUGACACCUGUUUGGUGACACCUGCGUGUCCCUGUCACGUCUGGGGUGGCACCUGAGUGUCCCUGUCACCCCUGUGGUGACACCUGCGUGUCCGUGGUGGCACCUGAGUGUCCCUGUCACGUCUGGGGUGGCACCUGAGUGUCCCCGUCACCCCUGUGGUGACACCUGCGUGUCCGUGGUGACACCUGCGUGUCCCCGUCAGCCCUGUGGUGACACCUGCGUGUCCCUGUCACCCCUGUGGUGGCACCUGCGUGUCCCUGUCACCCCUGA
rnacentral:lncRNA from 1 species